GCGGGGGUACCAGAGCCAGGUCUAAUGGGCAGAAGGCGCAACCCUGUGGCGAAGGCCUUCGUGGGUUCGAAUCCCACCCCCCGCACCA
rnacentral:tRNA from 1 species